GAUGAACGCUGGCGGCGUGCUUAACACAUGCAAGUCGAACGAAGCAUCUUAACGGACUUUCUUCGGAAACGAAGAUAAGAUGACUUAGUGGCGGACGGGUGAGUAACGCGUGGGUAACCUGCCUCAUACAGGGGGAUAACAGUUGGAAACGACUGAUAAUACCGCAUAAGCGCACAGCACCGCAUGGUGCAGUGUGAAAAGCUCUGGCAGUAUGAGAUGGACCCGCGUCUGAUUAGCUGGUUGGUGAGGUAACGGCCCACCAAGGCGACGAUCAGUAGCCGGCCUGAGAGGGUGAACGGCCACAUUGGGACUGAGACACGGCCCAAACUCC
rnacentral:rRNA from 1 species